rnacentral:rRNA from 1 species
UUAAGUUAGAAAGGGCGCACGGUGGAUGCCUUGACACUAGGAGUCGAUGAAGGACGGGACUAACGCCGAUAUGCUUCGGGGAGCUGUAAGUAAGCUUUGAUCCGAAGAUUUCCGAAUGGGGAAACCCACCAUACGUAAUGGUAUGGUAUCCUUAUCUGAAUACAUAGGGUAAGGAAGACAGACCCAGGGAACUGAAACAUCUAAGUACCUGGAGGAAGAGAAAGCAAAUGCGAUUUCCUGAGUAGCGGCGAGCGAAACGGAACAUAGCCCAAACCAAGAGGCUUGCCUCUUGGGGUUGUAGGACAUUCUAUACGGAGUUACAAAGGAACGAGGUAGACGAAGCGACCUGGAAAGGUCCGUCGUAGAGGGUAACAACCCCGUAGUCGAAACUUCGUUCUCUCUUGAAUGUAUCCUGAGUACGGCGGAACACGUGAAAUUCCGUCGGAAUCUGGGAGGACCAUCUCCCAAGGCUAAAUACUCCCUAGUGAUCGAUAGUGAACCAGUACCGUGAGGGAAAGGUGAAAAGCACCCCGGAAGGGGAGUGAAAGAGAUCCUGAAACCGUGUGCCUACAAAUAGUCAGAGCCCGUUAAUGGGUGAUGGCGUGCCUUUUGUAGAAUGAACCGGCGAGUUACGAUCCCGUGCGAGGUUAAGCUGAAGAGGCGGAGCCGCAGCGAAAGCGAGUCUGAAUAGGGCGUUUAGUACGUGGUCGUAGACCCGAAACCAGGUGAUCUACCCAUGUCCAGGGUGAAGUUCAGGUAACACUGAAUGGAGGCCCGAACCCACGCACGUUGAAAAGUGCGGGGAUGAGGUGUGGGUAGCGGAGAAAUUCCAAUCGAACCUGGAGAUAGCUGGUUCUCCCCGAAAUAGCUUUAGGGCUAGCCUUAAGUGUAAGAGUCUUGGAGGUAGAGCACUGAUUGGACUAGGGGUCCUCAUCGGAUUACCGAAUUCAGUCAAACUCCGAAUGCCAAUGACUUAUCCUUAGGAGUCAGACUGCGAGUGAUAAGAUCCGUAGUCAAAAGGGAACAGCCCAGACCGCCAGCUAAGGUCCCAAAGUGUGUAUUAAGUGGAAAAGGAUGUGGAGUUGCUUAGACAACUAGGAUGUUGGCUUAGAAGCAGCCACCAUUUAAAGAGUGCGUAAUAGCUCACUAGUCGAGUGACUCUGCGCCGAAAAUGUACCGGGGCUAAAUACACCACCGAAGCUGCGGAUUGAUACCAAUGGUAUCAGUGGUAGGGGAGCGUUCUAAGGACAGUGAAGUCAGACCGGAAGGACUGGUGGAGUGCUUAGAAGUGAGAAUGCCGGUAUGAGUAGCGAAAGACGGGUGAGAAUCCCGUCCACCGAAUGCCUAAGGUUUCCUGAGGAAGGCUCGUCCGCUCAGGGUUAGUCAGGACCUAAGCCGAGGCCGACAGGCGUAGGCGAUGGACAACAGGUUGAUAUUCCUGUACCACCUCUUUAUCGUUUGAGCAAUGGAGGGACGCAGAAGGAUAGAAGAAGCGUGCGAUUGGUUGUGCACGUCCAAGCAGUUAGGCUGAUAAGUAGGCAAAUCCGCUUAUCGUGAAGGCUGAGCUGUGAUGGGGAAGCUCCUUAUGGAGCGAAGUCUUUGAUUCCCCGCUGCCAAGAAAAGCUUCUAGCGAGAUAAAAGGUGCCUGUACCGCAAACCGACACAGGUAGGCGAGGAGAGAAUCCUAAGGUGUGCGAGAGAACUCUGGUUAAGGAACUCGGCAAAAUGACCCCGUAACUUCGGGAGAAGGGGUGCUUUCUUAACGGAAAGCCGCAGUGAAUAGGCCCAAGCGACUGUUUAGCAAAAACACAGCUCUCUGCGAAGCCGUAAGGCGAAGUAUAGGGGGUGACACCUGCCCGGUGCUGGAAGGUUAAGGAGAGGGGUUAGCGUAAGCGAAGCUCUGAACUGAAGCCCCAGUAAACGGCGGCCGUAACUAUAACGGUCCUAAGGUAGCGAAAUUCCUUGUCGGGUAAGUUCCGACCCGCACGAAAGGUGUAACGAUUUGGGCACUGUCUCAACCAGAGACUCGGUGAAAUUAUAGUACCUGUGAAGAUGCAGGUUACCCGCGACAGGACGGAAAGACCCCGUGGAGCUUUACUGUAGCCUGAUAUUGAAUUUUGGUACAGUUUGUACAGGAUAGGCGGGAGCCUUUGAAACCGGAGCGCUAGCUUCGGUGGAGGCGCUGGUGGGAUACCGCCCUGACUGUAUUGAAAUUCUAACCUACGGGUCUUAUCGACCCGGGAGACAGUGUCAGGUGGGCAGUUUGACUGGGGCGGUCGCCUCCUAAAGUGUAACGGAGGCGCCCAAAGGUUCCCUCAGAAUGGUUGGAAAUCAUUCGUAGAGUGCAAAGGCAUAAGGGAGCUUGACUGCGAGACCUACAAGUCGAGCAGGGACGAAAGUCGGGCUUAGUGAUCCGGUGGUUCCGCAUGGAAGGGCCAUCGCUCAACGGAUAAAAGCUACCCCGGGGAUAACAGGCUUAUCUCCCCCAAGAGUCCACAUCGACGGGGAGGUUUGGCACCUCGAUGUCGGCUCAUCGCAUCCUGGGGCUGUAGUCGGUCCCAAGGGUUGGGCUGUUCGCCCAUUAAAGCGGUACGCGAGCUGGGUUCAGAACGUCGUGAGACAGUUCGGUCCCUAUCCGUCGUGGGCGUAGGAAAUUUGAGAGGAGCUGUCCUUAGUACGAGAGGACCGGGAUGGACGCACGCUGGUGUACCAGUUGUUCUGCCAAGGGCAUAGCUGGGUAGCUAUGUGCGGAAGGGAUAAGUGCUGAAAGCAUCUAAGCAUGAAGCCCCCCUCAAGAUGAGAUUUCCCAUAGCGUAAGCUAGUAAGAUCCCUGAAAGAUGAUCAGGUUGAUAGGUUCGAGGUGGAAGCAUGGUGACAUGUGGAGCUGACGAAUACUAAUAGAUCGAGGACUUAACCAU